rnacentral:rRNA from 1 species
CCUACGGGUGGCAGCAGUAGGGAAUAUUGCUCAAUGGGGGAAACCCUGAUGCAGCAACGCCGCGUGGAGGCUGAAGGUUUUCGGAUUGUAAACUCCUUUUGUUAGAGAAGAUAAUGACGGUAUCUAACGAAUAAGCAACGGCUAACUCCGUUCCAGCAGCCGCGGUAAUACGGAGGGUGCAAGCGUUACUCAGAAUCACUGGGCGUAAAGGGCGCGUAGGCGGGGUAGCAAGUCAGAUGUGAAAUCCUAUGGCUUAACCAUAGAACUGCAUUUGAAACUGUUAUUCUAGAGUAUGGGAGAGGUAGGUGGAAUUCUUGGUGUAGGGGUAAAAUCCGUAGAGAUCAAGAGGAAUACUCAUUGCGAAGGCGACCUGCUAGAACAUAACUGACGCUGAUGCGCGAAAGCGUGGGGAGCAAACAGGAUUAGAUACCCUUGUAGUC